rnacentral:rRNA from 1 species
CACGGAGGAUGCGAGCGUUAUCCGGAUUUAUUGGGUUUAAAGGGUGCGCAGGCGGCACGGCAAGCCGGCGGUCAAAUCGCGGGGCUCAACCCCGCCCAGCCGUCGGAACUGCCGGGCUAGAGUGGGCGAGAAGUGCGCGGAAUGCGUGGUGUAGCGGUGAAAUGCAUAGAUAUCACGCAGAACUCCGAUUGCGAAGGCAGCGCACCGGCGCCCUACUGACGCUCAGGCACGAAAGCGUGGGUAUCGGACAGG